rnacentral:rRNA from 1 species
CCAAUAGCGUAUAUUAAAGUUGUUGCAGUUAAAAAGCUCGUAGUUGAAUUUCGAGAUCAGUACGCUGGUCGUGCCUUCGGUAUGCACUGGUGUCACUGGUUUCUCCCUUCUGGAGAACCGUUAUGUCAUUAAGUUGGUGUGGCGGGGAAUCAGGACUGUUACUUUGAAAAAAUUAGAGUGUUUAAAGCAGGCUCGCGCUUGAAUACAUUAGCAUGGAAUAAUGAAAUAGGACGUUUGACCCUAUUUUGUUGGUUUCUAGGAUCGACGUAAUGAUUAAUAGGGAUAGUUGGGGGCAUUAGUAUUCAAUUGUCAGAGGUGAAAUUCUUGGAUUUAUUGAAGACUAACUACUGCGAAAGCAUUUGCCAAGGAUGUUUUCAUUAAUCAAGAACGAAAGUUAGGGGAUCGAAGACGAUCAGAUACCGUCGUAGUCUUAACCAUAAACUAUGCCGACUAGGGAUCGGAUGAUGUUAAUUUUUUAAUGACUCAUUCGGCGCCUUACG